GACGAACGCUGGCGGCGUGCUUAACACAUGCAAGUCGAACGGAAAGGCUCUUGCUUGCGGGGGUACUCGAGUGGCGAACGGGAGAGUAACACGAGGGUGAUCUGCCCUGGACUUAGGGAUAAGCCUGGGGAACUGGGUCUAAUAGCGGAUAGGACGAUGGUUUGGAUGUCGUUGUGGGAAGUUUUUUCGGGGUGGGAUGGGCUCGCGGCCUAUCAGCUUGUUGGUGGGGUAGUGGCCUACCAAGGCGUCGACGGGUAGCCGGCCUGAGAGGGUGAACGGCCACAUUGGGACUGAGAUACGGCCCAGACUCCUACGGGAGGCAGCAGUGGGGAAUAUUGCACAAUGGGCGGAAGCCUGAUGCAGCGACGCCGCGUGGGGGAUGACGGCCUUCGGGUUGUAAACUCCUUUCGCUAGGGACGAAGCGCAAGUGACGGUACCUGGAGAAGAAGCACCGGCUAACUACGUG
rnacentral:rRNA from 1 species